AAGUCGUAACAAGGUUUCCGUAGGUGAACCUGCGGAAGGAUCAUUAACACUUUUUUCGGGUGCUUUUGAAACUGGGAAAAUCUUUCUUGGUUUCGAGCCCAAAUCCAAACUUACCCAAACUUUUUUAAAGUGCUGGUGUUUUGCGAUCAAAAGCAAAACCUUUUUUUUAAUUCAAAAACCCCAAAUCUUUCUUUGCGAAUGCAAUUGAACAAAAUUUAAACCUAAACAAAACUACUAAAUGUAACCAAACAACUCUUAGCAACGGAUAUCUUGGCUCUC
rnacentral:misc_RNA from 1 species